GUGGUUGCUGGAGCUGUUGUGGUAGUUGAUGCAGCUCUUGUGGUAGUUGCAGCAGCUGUUGGGGUGGUUGUAGCAGCUGUUGUGGUAGUUGCAGCAGCUGUUGUGGUGCUUGCUGGAGCUGUUGUGGUGGUUGCAGCAGCUGUUGUGCUAGUUGUAGCAGCUGUUGUGGGUGCUGUUGUGGUAGUGGUGGGAGCUGUUGUUGGUGCUGUUGUGGUAGUGGUUGCAGAUGUUGUGGGUUCUGUUGUGGCUUCCGUUGUUGUAGUUGCAGGAGCUGUUGUGGUAGUGGUGGGAGCUGUUGUGGUAAUUGCUGCAGCUGUUUUGGUAGUUG
ensembl:lncRNA